UACGUAGGGGCCAAGCGUUGUCCGGAUUAUUGGGCGUAAAGAGCUCGUAGGCGGUUCGGCAAGUCAGCUGUGAAAUCUCCACGCUCAACGUGGAGGGGUCAGCUGAUACUGCUGUGACUUGAGUCCGGUAGGGGAGUGUGGAAUUCCCGGUGUAGCGGUGAAAUGCGCAGAUAUCGGGAGGAACACCAGUAGCGAAGGCGGCACUCUGGGCCGGUACUGACGCUGAGUGAGCGAAAGCCAGGGGAGCAAACGGG
rnacentral:rRNA from 1 species